UACGUAGGGUGCGAGCGUUGUCCGGAAUUAUUGGGCGUAAAGCGCGUGUAGGCGGCUUUGCAAGUCGGGGUGUGAAAUCCCUCAGCUUAACUGAGGAAGUGCGCCCGAAACUGCCGAGCUUGAGUACCGGAGAGGGUGGCGGAAUUCCCCAAGUAGAGGUGAAAUUCGUAGAUAUGGGGAGGAACACCCGUGGCGAAGGCGGCUCUCUGGGACGGUACUGACGCUGAGACGCGAAAGCGUGGG
rnacentral:rRNA from 1 species